AAUGCAAAUCAAAACCACAAUUAUAGCCACUAGGAUGGCUAUAAUAAAAAAGGUAACGUGUUGAUGAAGAUGUGGAGAAACUGGAACUCUCAUACAUGGCUGGUAAGAAUGUCAAAUGGAGGCUGGGCACAGUGGCUCACACCUGUAAUUCCAACUCUUUGGGAGGCUAACAUGGUAGGAUCGCUAGGGCCCAGCAGGUCAAGGUUGCAGUGAGCUGUGAUCGUGCCACUGCACUCCAGCUUGAGCAACAGGGUGAGACCUUGUCUCAAAAGAAAGGAAAAAGAAAAAGUAUGUCAAAUAAUACAGCCCCUUUGGAAAGCAGUCUGGAAGUUUCUCAAAAGAUUAAGCAUAAAGUUACCAUAUGACCCAGCAGUUCCACUCCUAUAUAUGUAUGCAAGGUAAAUUAAAACGUAUGUUCAUACAAAAACUUGUACAUGAUUGGUUAUUGCAGCAUUAUUCACAAGAGCCAAAAAGUGGAAACAACCCAAAUACCCAUCAACUGAUGAAUGGAUGGAGAUGGGCUGCCAUGUUGUGAGCUGCCCCAUGGGGAAGAGGCUCACAUGUGAGGAACUGAGGGAGGCCUCCAGAAAACAGCCAGUGAAGAACUGAGACCCUCAGUCCAAUAGCCUAUGAGGAACUGAAUCCUGCUGACAACCAUAUGAAUGAGCUUGGAAGCAGAUCCUUCCCCAGUGAAGCCUUCAUGUGAGACUGCAGCCCACUUGACACUUUGAUUUGUAGCUUGUGACAGACCCCAAGCCAGAAGAGUCAGGUAAGCAGUGCCUGCACUCCUGACCCAUGGCAACUGGCAUGAUAAAUGUUUU
rnacentral:lncRNA from 1 species